rnacentral:rRNA from 1 species
AUUGAACGCUGGCGGCAGGCUUAACACAUGCAAGUCGAGCGGAGUGAUGGUGCUUGCACUAUCACUUAGCGGCGGACGGGUGAGUAAUGCUUAGGAAGCUGCCUAUUAGUGGGGGACAACAUCUCGAAAGGGAUGCUAAUAUCGCAUACGUCCUACGGGAGAAAGCAGGGGAUCACUUGUGACAUUGCGCUAAUAGAUGAGCCUAAGUCGGAUUAGCGAGUUGGUGGGGUAAAGGCCUACCAAGGCGACGAUCUGUAGCGGGUCUGAGAGGAUCAUCCGCCUCACUGGGACUGAAACACGGCCCAGACUCCUACGGGAGGCAGCAGUGGAGAAUAUUGGACAAUGGGGGGAACCCUGAUCCAGCCAUGCCGCGUGUGUGAAGAAGGCCUUAUGGUUGUAAAGCACUUUAAGCGAGGAGGAGGCUCUUUUGGUUAAUACCCAAGAUGAGUGGACGUUACUCGCAGAAUAAGCACCGGCUAACUCUGUGCCAGCCGCCGCCGUAA